AUUGAACGCUGGCGGCAGGCCUAACACAUGCAAGUCGAACGGUAACAGGCAGCAGCUUGCUUCUUUGCUGGCGAGUGGCGGACGGGUGAGAAAUGUCUGGGAAACUGCCUGAUGGAGGGGGAUAACUACUGGAAACGGUAACUACUACCGCAUAACGUCGCAAGACCAAAGAGGGGGAGCUUCGGGCCUCUUGCCAUGGGAUGUGCCCCGAUGGGAUUAGCUAGUCGGUGGGGUAACGGCACACCUAGGCGGCGAUCCCUCGCGGGUGUGAGAGGAUGAGCACCCGCACUGGAGCUUAGCCACGCUCCAUGCUCCUACGGGAGGCCGCAGUGGGGAACAUUGCACAGUGGUCGCAAGCCUGAUGCAGCCAUGCCGCGUGUAUGGAGAAGGCCUUCGGGUUGUAAAGUACUUUCAGCGGGGAGGAAGCGAGUAAAGUUAAUACCUUGGCUCAUUGACGUUACCCGCAGAAGAAGCACCGGCUAACUCCGUG
rnacentral:rRNA from 1 species